UACAGAGGCCCCCGAGCGUUAUCCGGAAUCAUUGGGCGUAAAGCGUGUCCAGGUGGUCAUGUUAGUCUUCCGUAAAAUCCAGGAGCUCAACUUCUGGCCCGCGGGAGAAACGGCAUGACUUGAGGGUGGGAGAGUGCGUGGAACUCACGGUGUAGGGGUGAAUCCGUUGAUAUCGUGGGGACACCAAAGGCGAGGCAGCGCACUGGCCCAUUCCUGACACUCACACACGAAAGCCAGGGUAGCCGAAUGGG
rnacentral:rRNA from 1 species